rnacentral:lncRNA from 1 species
GCCUCUGCAUUCCUGUGGCAAGAAGGGAUCUUGUGCAUCUGGUGUAGGCUGGUCUGGAGGCUAAAUGUCCAAGAUCAAGAUGUCGGCAAGACUGUAUUCCUUCUGAAGGAACCAAGGAAGUAUCUGUCCCGGGCCUUUCUCACAGCUUCUGGUAGUUCCUUAGCUUGCAGCAUAUCUCCAAUCUGUACAUGGCGUUCUCCUUGUGUGUGCAUCUGUCUCUUGCAUUCCUCCUAUAGCUGUUAGGCCACACUGCCUCUCUCGUUGUGCCUCAUUUCUUUUAUCCACACCUGUUUGGUUUCUAUCAGAGGUCCAGCAAAGAGUUUGGGAGCAUCUCUGAUUUCAGGAUCUCAAGACCGUCCCUCCUGUGAGUAGGGAGAGGUUCUUCUCUGCAUCCAGGGUCCCUACAAAAGGUGCAAGCCUUCUGAACAGCCCUGCUGACUGACUUCCUUUUAAAAUGCCAGAACCAUUAAGUACAGUAAAUUUGUUCUCCUAGAGAGGGUGGGUUGCAGUCAGCAGGAGUAAAAGCCAUGCCACUUAUUGGUCUAAAAAGGUAUUUAGCAGCUACAAAUAACCUCCUGGAUUAAUGGAAUCAACAGUCUUUAGGUCUCUAGAUGUAAAGGGCCCAUUUAUUCGACAUCCAUUCAUUUAUUCAACAAGCCGUGGUGCCGGUUUGGGUCGAGCUAAUUCUGAAUUGAGACUGCUGUCCUUCCUCUUAAGGCUUUCUUCAAUAAUUAUUCUGUUAUUGACACAUCAGUGACCCCACCAUGACUAAUGGGUUAGUAUUACUGAGAGAUGCAGCUAAAGGUCACCUCGGAGUGGGGGGCUGUGGGGGGGAGGCGAGCUGACAUUUCCAUGGUGCACUGUGGAGCAAAUGGAGAUUUUAAGGGGGCAGAGCCCACUCCGUCUUUACAGGAGACUAGAGUGCCAUUACAAUGCUGCGUAAUCAAAUUUCUUCCUUUUCUGCAAUCUUUGUUCCAUUUAUUAAUUAAGUGAAAUGACACAAGAGGGUGAGCGCCGGCGGUCUGUGGCACACUUGGGUGUAUUGUUAGGACAGCAGCACCGGCUUGAUUACAGUCAGUGUGAACAGUAGCAGGUUACUUAUUGGGUAAUAAGACUGACCCAGGAGUGUCUUUAUAAGAGUUGAAAGAGGAAUUUUCAGAUAAAAGAGAAAAAAAAAUGUUUUUAAUGAAAUUUAGAAAAUGGGGUCAGAGUACAAUUUAUGGACCAAAUCUUGCCCUCUGGCAUCUGCAAAGAUAGAAAGAAGAGAGGGAGGAGGAAAGACUCAAGAGCCCAGGAAAUUUCUCAUUAGCUCUAUCUCUCCUUUUCCUGUCCAUCUGUAACCCCACGUCAAUGGACUGACUUUAUUUGUAGGCAAGAUAUGCUAUUAUUUUCUCAGGGUUCCUUUUUUCUUUUAAAUACUGGAGGGCUUACCCGUAAAACAGCCUAGCUUACUUUUCUCCAUCAUUGCUUUCCUCUGUGUAGAAUGGGCAGGUGAGUCCUUGGUAGAGUAUUGCCUCACAGAGAAUUCAGGAGAUGCAAUGAGUAUAAAGCCAUCUGUGUUCUGUACCAGAAGACAUGCUGGGAACAGAAACCGGUCAUCAGAGAUCAGUGCCAUGCCCGUAGAAAUGGUGCGAUGAAAGUUUUCUAAAUGAAUAGAUGAACCCAAAAAGGCCUUUACUAUCUGCUCACUGUGGUGGACACGAGGAUGUGCUGUUCAGACCCCUCUCAGACCUGAGGGCCUGAUGCCCCCAGCUGCUGGGGUGCUGCAGGUGGCUGGUCCCUCUGGGUUGUCUGCCUAGGACAGUAGCUUUGCACAAUGGCUGACUGAUGAAGGGGUAGGGAGCCCUGGUCCUCUCACUGAAAUGGGACAGCGUUGAGAGGUCAAUCCAUCUUCAGAACUUCCCAGAGGUUCGGCUGAAAUGUCCACUGAAACUGCAUUGCAGGAGAUCCCGUUGUGGCUCACCAGGUCAAGAACCUGAGUAGUAUCCAUGAGGAGGUGGGUUCAAUCCCAGGCCUUGUUCGUUGGCUUAAGGAUCCAGCAUUACUGCAAGCUGCAGCAUAGGUUGCAGGUGCAGCUCGGAUCUGGGGUUGCUGUGUAGGCCUGGAGCUGCAGCUCCGAUUCGACGCCUAGUUUGGGAACUGCUACAGGCCACAUGUGCGGCCCUAAAAAGAAAAAAAAGAAAGAAAGAAACUGCAUUGCAGCACCACUUCUUCCUCUGCCCAAUUUUGCUUCAUUCUCUUCCUUAUCCUUCCAUAGGUGUCGGAUCCCAAGAGCACUCCCUGAAAAAUGCCCUGCACACCAAUCUCAGUCUCAGAGUCUGCUUCCUAGGGCACCCAAGCUGCAACAUUUGGGAGAUUAUGGCAGACAUCAGGCAGACCUUCUUUGCCUCCUGAAUCUAUGUUUAUUUGCUCCUGCCAUUUGCUUGGCUCUAUUGUUAAGAGAUGAAAAUAUGAGAGAAGAAAAGUUAUGCUCCUUAGAGGCUUUUCUAAUUAACUGUUUGAAAGAGACUUUUAAAAAAUGCCUAAGUGUGAGGUUAUUUGUAUGCCUAAUUCCGUUUUUAUGUUAUACUUACUUUUAAGUGUAAUUUACCAAGGCUUAACACUUGUAUUCUUUCAGGGGCAUUACAAAGAGCAUUGCACAUUUAUUACAGCCCUUCAAAUGGCUGUGUUUUAUUUCCAUAUGCUUUUAAAUGGUUAUUGAGUGGAUUUGGUACUCUUCCUGUAGUUAAAGUGCAUUUUUUUUAUUGUACAUAAAUGGUAAAUAAUUGAUACCUGCCAUAUGUUUCCCUUUCCCUUUCUAAGCUCCCCUUUCCCUUCCCCUCUUCAUUCUCUUCCCUUCUCAGUUCCUAUUGGUUUCUGCCCUUAUCUUGCUCUUUAUCCUUUCCUCUCCUUUCUCUGCAGUUCUCUGCUGCUUUCAACACCAUUUUUCUUGCCUCUCAAUGUGCUCAUUUCAGAGGGGAUUUUUGCAUGGAUUCUUGAGGUCAUUGCAUUAGCUGGUAGGGGUGAAAGAGGCGGGAAAGGGCAUACAGGUUGUUGUUUUGUUUUGUUUUGUUUUUGCUUUUUUUUUUUUAGAUGGUGCCUAGAUCAAGAAUUUUAAAAAGAGAGUGGUUUCAGAGAAUAUUUCUUGAAUAUUUUUUUCCUUCGGAUUGUGAAUUGAUAUCAGGCUAAUUCUUGUUGCCCUGCUUCUCUGACUAACCAGUGACAACCUCUGGAAGCUUGGAUUGAAGGAAAAUGUGGCCAAGUGUCUGAGAUCAUUCUCAGCAGGCAAAGCUGCUCAAGCUGAACAAUUUUAAACAGUGUCUCAUUAGAGAAAGAAGAGGAUAAACAGUGCAAGAGGAAAUUUAAAGACUAUUCAAUGGAAUGAACUUGUUUGAGGGACAUUCCUACUAUAUUGAAGGCACAAAACUAUACAAGUUUUUAUUUCUUUGCUUUUAUAUCUCCAGAAGGCAAAAAUCAAAACCCAUUUAUAGAUAUAACAGCCCACCAACACUAGAAGAGUUUUUCUUUUUGAAAUUUUAGAAAGGAGUUGAAAUUUCAUAUGAAAUGUAAGGCUCCCAGAAUAACCAAAAUAACCUUGAAGAAAAAAAAAAAAAGAACAAAGUUGGAGGACUUAUAUUCUUAAUUUCAAAGCUACAAAGCAACAGUCAUUAUGACAGUAGGGUACUGGGAUAAGGAAAGACAUAUUGAUCAAUUGACUAGAAAUGAGAGCCCAGAAGUAAACAUACGUAUCUAUGAUCAGCUGGUUUUUGAAAAAAAAAAACAAAACAAGACAAAACCUACCUCAUUUAAUGGAGAAAGAAUAGACUUUUCAACAAAUGAUGCUGGUACAACUGGACAGCCACAUACAAGAGAAUGAGCUGGAUCUAUCUUACACCUACACAAAAAUUAACUCAAAGUGGAUUGAAAGCCUAAAUAUAAAAGCUAAACCUGUAAGAUUCCAAGAAGAAAACAUAGGAGUAAACCUUUGUAACUUUGGAUUUGGCAAUGGGUUCUUAGAUAUGACGGUAAAAGCAUAGGCAACAAAGUGAAACACAUGGAUAAAUUUGACUUCUCUUAUAUUAAAAAUUUUUAUUUUUCAAAGUACAUUAUCAGGAAAGUGAAAAGACAACCCACAGAAUGGGUGAAAAUAUUUCCAAAAGAUAUAUCUGAUAAGAAUACUUAGAACAUAUAUUUAGAAUAUAUCAGGAAUUCUUACCAUUCAAUAAUAGACAACCAGAUUUUAAAGUGAACAAAUGAUUUGACUAAACAUUUUUCCAAAGAAAAUAACCAAAAGACCAAAAGCUCAAGAAAAGAUGCUAAACACCAUUAGCAAUCAGGGAGAUGUAAAUCAAAACCACAAUGAGGUAUCAUUUCACACCCACUACAAUAAAGAAGACAGACAAUAAUAAGUGUUGUCAGGAUGUGGAGAAAUUGGAAUCCUCAUAGAAGGUUGGUGGGAAUGUAAAAUGUUGCAGUCAUUUUGGAAAACAGCCUAAUGGUUCCUCAAAGGAUUAAACAGAGAUACGGCAUGGAGUAAAAACCAGCAAUUCCACUUUUAGGUACAUACUCAUGACAGAUGAAAACAGGUUCACAUACAAACUCGUAAUGUUCAUAGCAGCAUUACCUAUAAUAACUAAAAGGUAGAAAUAAACCAAAUGUCUAUCAACUGAUGAAUGGAAGAAUACAAGGUGGUAUAUCCAUACAAUGGAAUAUUAUUUGGCCAUGAAAGGAAGUAUGGGCAAUGAGGUCCUACUGUACAACACAGGGAACUGCAUGUGAUUGGGUCACUUUGCUGUACAGUAGAUAUUAAAGAAACAUUGUAAAUGAACUACACUUUAUUUAUUUA